rnacentral:snRNA from 1 species
AUAUGUGAGGGCAAUCUGGCAGCAACAUCUGUCACCCCAUUGAUGGCCAGGGUUGAGUCUGCUGGUCUGGCUGGCUAGGCAGAUGUCUCUGCUUCCUACCUCACCUUUUCAGCUGCAGCUCUCCUGAAGAGCACAUCCUUCCCCAAAUGGAACCUCCAAAGAAGCAAUUCUCCAGCUGUCCUUGGUUAACCAGUGACUAUGUGUCAUAUGCUGAACUAAUGACAUGAAAAUGGAGACACUGGUUCAAAGCAUGAGGCUAAGAAAACCUCAGUAAAGGUCCAUAGAAAAGCUCACCUGGACAGAGAGCUUGCUUU